CGGCGUGCCUAACACAUGCAAGUCGAGCGGGGAGGAGUCCCUCGGGGUCGUCUAGCGGCGGACGGGUGAGUAACGCGUGAGCAACCUUCCUUCACAGGGGGAUAACGCAGCGAAAGCUGUGCUAAUACCGCAUGAGACCACAGGACCGCAUGGUCAAGGGGUCAAAGGAGCAAUCCAGUGAAGGGUGGGCUCGCGUCUGAUUAGCUAGUUGGCGGGUAAAGGCCCACCAAGGCAACGAUCAGUAGCCGACCUGAGAGGGUGAUCGGCCACACUGGGACUGAGACACGGCCCAGACUCCUACGGGAGGCAGCAGUGGGGAAUAUUGGGCAAUGGGGGAAACCCUGAACCCCCAGCAACGCCGCGUGAGGGAAGAAGGUUUUCGGAUCGUAAACCUCUGUCCUUGGUGAAGAGUAGAAGACGGUAGCCAAGGAGGAUGCCCCGGCUAACUACGUGCCAGCAGCUGC
rnacentral:rRNA from 1 species